GUCAGCAUCACCACUGGCAGUUCUCGGCAUGGGAAGGUAAUAUAUUGAAGACUACUUUAGACACUCAAAUGUCUCGGACACAUCACAAGCAGAGAGAGAGAGAGAGAGAGAGAGAGAGAGAGAGAU